GCACAGUGCGCAGCGAGGCGAGGUGAGGCGUGCGUCCAGCAAGCAACCACCCAAGUUUGACCUCGGAUCAGGUAGGGAUACCCGCUGAACUUAAGCAUAUCAAUAAGCGGAGGAAAAGAAACCAACUGGGAUUGCCCUAGUAACGGCGAGUGAAGCGGCAACAGCUCAAAUUUGAAAUCUGGCCUCCUUCGGUGGUCCGAGUUGUAAUUUGCAGAGGGUGCUUUGGCGUUGGCAGCGGUCUAAGUUCCUUGGAACAGGACGUCACAGAGGGUGAGAAUCCCGUACGUGGUCGCCCGCCUCCGCCGUGUAAAGCCCCUUCGACGAGUCGAGUUGUUUGGGAAUGCAGCUCUAAAUGGGAGGUAAAUUUCUUCUAAAGCUAAAUACCGGCCAGAGACCGAUAGCGCACAAGUAGAGUGAUCGAAAGAUGAAAAGCACUUUGGAAAGAGAGUCAAAAAGCACGUGAAAUUGUUGAAAGGGAAGCGCUUGCAGCCAGACUUGCCCGUAGUUGCUCACCCGGACUUUUGCCCGGGGCACUCUUCUGCGGGCAGGCCAGCAUCAGUUUGGGCGACCGGAUAACGGCCUCUGUCACGUACCAUCCCUCGGGAUGGCCUUAUAGGGGAGGCGUAAUGCGGCCAGCCUGGACUGA
rnacentral:rRNA from 1 species